GUAUAUGCAUCAUAGAUGGGAUUGAGGAUGUCAUUGUUGCUGGUGGCAUGAUAGACAUUCAGUCCAAUAUCCUUUAGCAGCAGCAG